AAAAAAUGUGUAUGAUUGAUUCUGGCAGCACUGUUCAUGUUUACGUAACUUCAUUUGACAGACACGAGCUGAGCGGAAUUAAAACAAUUGGAUAAAAAUGAACCACGUACAGAAAGUGAGAGUUUUGUACAAAACUAUUCUUCGUAUGCACCGUGGACUGCCGGUGGCGUUGCAGGAGCUCGGUAAUAACUACGUGAAAGAAGAGUUUAAACGCCACAAAAAUUGUUCUCCUAUGGAAAGCCAGAAAUUUAUGAGCGAAUGGGCAGGAUAUGCGAUAAAUCUUGCUGAGCAACUGGGUUUGCGAGGGAAACCCGGACCGAUUGGAAUGAUAGGAGAAGAUUUGACUGAAAAUCAAUUAAACCAUUUUCGAGAUGAACAGAUAGCUCAGCUGUAUGAGCUACUGCAGGAAGCCAAACGAUAAUAGAUGAUAAAGGACCGUAAGUUUUGCUUCGACCUAUGAUAUCCAACCUAUUGCUGUUUGUUCUCAUAUAUCUUGUAUACAUACUGUAUUCCGUUUUCUUCUUGCACACCACUUGGAGUGUCUGGAUCAUUAUCAAUCACCAUAAAAGAAUUGGGUAUUUCUGGGAAGAAUGCAUCACAAUCGAAUUGCUUUUUGAUUUCCGUCAAAUAGAUUCGAUGACAACGAUCGGAUUCCAUGGCUUCCUUAUAUACGCUGUUACCUCCGACAACCCAAAUGUUCUCUAUGUGUUCCCCAUGGUCAGUUGAAUCCAGCUUGUGCAAUGCUUCCUGCAGGCUGCCACAAACCAACACAUCCGGCGGAAAAGUAUAGGCAGCCGCAUUUCGCGUCAACACAAUAUUUAGACGCUCCGGCAAUGGACGUUUGCUUUCUGGGACCCCGAAGUAAAUCUCAAUCCGACAUCAACACCAGGAUGGACAAGCAACUAAAAAACCUCGACAGUUGAAAUCAACCAUGUACAGGCAGUCCCCGAGAUACACUAUUAACCGUAUUGUCUACGACCAAAAAAAUACAUGGCCCGCAAAACAAAUUCGAGCAGUCUGCGAGGUCGCACUACAAAACACCACAGAUUUAGUUUUUGAUAGAUAAAAUAGGAUGCGGAGUCCGACGAAUCGCACGUCUGAUUUUAUCUGUGAAA